CACUUAACAUUUAAAAAGUAUGAUCGCGUUUAUUAACUGACGAAAUUUCACUAGGUGCGUUCUCUUGCGAAAAAAUAUUUCGAAACAAAAUUGUGAAAUACUGAUUAUUCCUAUUCAAGAAGAUUAACAUAUUUUUAAGCGCGGCACGUCACUUUGCGAAUUCGACUACGACAGAUGGCUGUCAGUGUCUGAAUGUUGAGUAAUAACUGUUCAUUGGAUCUACUUAUUUUACAGUGUACCGUAGAAGAAUUCGGUACAAAUGUUUUAGUUUUAGUGUAGUAUGUUUGGAAUGUCCGCUCCGGAUGUACGAGAGAUAUUUUACUUUAAAAGAGACAUUAAUCACCUCAGAUUGAACGAAUGCUUCUAAGAAUAUAUGAAAGCUUAUUAUGCAAUCAAACAUCUUUACUUCAGUGAUCGCGUGAAAUUCAACACCCGAAGAAUUAAUAUUAUAUUAUCAUGCACUAUAGUUUCGCUGUGUAUUUUAAUGAUCAUAAUAAUAUUAAGUAUUAUUUUUUUGUCCUUUGAAUGUUUUUGUAUUAUCUUACUCAUAUAAUGGAUAGAUUUUUAUAUGAACUUGAUCAUAUCAUUAAUAAGGUGACGGUUUUAUUUGUUUUUGGGGGCUUUAUUAGCCCGCGCUAGUAGGCAGUGCCUCUCUGUCUGAAUUCGUCGUGGCCUAAAGGAUAAGACGCCCGGUUCAUUCGUAUCGGCCGAUGUUCGAAUCUCUCAUGCAGGUACCAAUUUUUUCUAAUGAAAUGCGUGCUUAGCUCACGUUCUCUUUUUUUUUAUCCUACCUAAGCUGAUGGUCUUGAGAGACCAUAUCAGCGUCGCCGGGAGAGUAGAUGAGCUCACGGGGCUCAAACCUUACGUCGUUGGUAGCACGAACCCUAGCAAGAGCCGUGCUUCACAGAAUCUACCACCGGAUCGGCACGGACGCGACCCACUGAGAAGAUUCGUCUAGAAACUCAGUGGGCUGAGUCUGUAGGUUAAUUUACUCGCCGAGCCCUGACCGGUGCUUGGGGUACCUAAAAGCACCGUUAGUGGAUUGGGAGGAUCCGAAAUGACGGAUUUUGGGCGACGUCGACUGUUUACCAUUCUGUCCGCAGAAUCGGGAAUGUAGUUACCAGCGGCCAUGAUGAGAGGGUUGUCCUGCCGUGCCGUUUUAUCGAAAUGGAACACGUUCUCGAAUGACGUCCACGAUAAAAUAGAGUACUAAAAAUCAAACCCGCAAAACUUUUUAUUUCUGUAAUACCGGUAGCAGGGAGUCUUGUGAGCCAACACGGGAAGGUAACAACAUCCUGCCUAUUUCUGCCGCCAAGCAGUAAUGCGUUCCAGUUUGAAGGGUAGGGCAGCCGUUGUAGAUACUACAUAUAUAAAGUGAACUUAGAACUGGUGGUAGGACCUCUUAUGAGUUCGCGCGGGUGGGUACCACCACCCUGCCUAUUUCUGCCGUGAAGCAGUAAUGCGUUUCGGUUUGAAGGGUGGGGCAGCCGUCGUUACUGUACUUGAGACCUUAGAACUUGUAUCUCAGGGUGGGUGGCGCAUUUACGUUGUGGAUGUUUAUGGGCUCCAGUAACCACUUAACACCAGGUGGGCUGUGAGCUCGUCCACCAAUCUAAGCAAUAAAAAAAAAAAAAAAGAACUCAUGUCUCAAGGGGGGUGGCGACAUUUAUGUUGAAGAUUUGAAGAAUGAGGCGACCGUUAUACAAUGUAUAGUUACAUAUGUUACGUGUUUUAUAUAAUACAAUAAAUACAUAGGAGAUUUGCAAUUUCUAUGGGUUCCUAUAAUCACUUAUCACUCGCCGGUCGUGAGCUCAUAUACUUACUCAUUUAACAUAUAAUAUAAAGAUAUCUAAUAUUAUUCUAGACAUAAAAUUUAAGAAUUUAAGUUCCAGUACCACUGGUAUUUUAUGUACGUAGACGGAAACGAAUCCAAUGAAGAUAAUUUAUACACCUAAAAAUCGUUCACAGGUUUAUGUAUAUUUUUCUACGCAAUGUUUCAACGUACCUUAAUCUCCACAGUAGCUCAUCUAAUUAUAUUUAAACACGGUUAUCAGGGAUGUGGUGUAACAUGAUAAGCCUGAUAUACGACGUACUUUGUGGAUGACAAAUGGAAAUUAUGAAUGAAUUACAAUAGGGCGCGUAUUUGAGUUAUAUGGUCAAAAAACGGAUAACUCCUUGAAGCUUAAUUUAUGCUGUCAAAAUUAUAUGUUAAUAUUUUUUAAAUAAACUAUUUGAAAUUCGA